AGCACAUGACGUAGCAAUACAGAUGGUGGCGACCGGCGCACGGGUGAGUAACACGUAUGCAACCUACCUUCCACAGGAGAAUAACCCGUUGAAAAACGGACUAAUACUCCAUAACACAGGGAUCCCGCAUGGGAAUAUUUGUUAAAGAUUUUUUCGGUAGAAGAUGGGCAUGCGUUCCAUUAGCUAGUUGGUUGAGGUAACGGCUCACCAAGGCAACGAUGGAUAGGGGAACUGAGAGGUUUAUCCCCCACACUGGUACUGAGACACGGACCAGACUCC
rnacentral:rRNA from 1 species